rnacentral:tRNA from 1 species
AAGGUACUGAAAAUACCUAGACGAGUAUAUCCAACUCCAUAAACA